rnacentral:ncRNA from 1 species
CCGCGGGGACGACCUCGCCGCAAGUCCAGGGAGCCAGGCGGGGACGACCCCG